UGCCUACGGGACGCAGCAGUCGGGAAUAUUGCGCAAUGGAGGAAACUUUGACGCAGUGACGCCGCGUAUAGGAAGAAGGUUUUCGGAUUGUAAACUAUUGUCGUUAGGGAAGAUAAAAGACUGUACCUAAGGAGGAAGCCCCGGCUAACUACGUGCCAGCAGCCGCGGUAAUACGUAGGGGGCAAGCGUUAUCCGGAUUUACUGGGUGUAAAGGGAGCGUAGGCGGUUUAGCAAGUCAGAAGUGAAAGCCCGGGGCUCAACUCCGGGACUGCUUUUGAAACUGUUGAACUAGAUUGCGGGAGAGG
rnacentral:rRNA from 1 species